rnacentral:rRNA from 1 species
UACGUAGGGGGCUAGCGUUGCUCGGAAUCACUGGGCGUAAAGCGCACGUAGGCGGAUCGCUAAGUCAGGGGUGAAAUCCUGGAGCUCAACUCCAGAACUGCCUUUGAUACUGGCAAUCUCGAGUCCGGGAGAGGUGAGUGGAACUGCGAGUGUAGAGGUGAAAUUCGUAGAUAUUCGCAAGAACACCAGUGGCGAAGGCGGCUCACUGGCCCGGUACUGACGCUGAGGUGCGAAAGCGUGGGGAGCAAACAGG